AUGUACAUUCUUAUAACAUAGCGCUAAUGCAUCGAAUCCCAUUAGAACUUCGUAGUUAAGCGCGCUUGGGCUAGAGUAGUAUUGGGAUGGGUGACCGCCCGAGAAGUCCUAGUGUUUUACAUG
rfam:Picea glauca, whole genome shotgun sequence.